rnacentral:rRNA from 1 species
AUUGAACGCUGGCGGCAGGCCUAACACAUGCAAGUCGAACGGUAACAGGAAACAGCUUGCUGUUUCGCUGACGAGUGGCGGACGGGUGAGUAAUGUCUGGGAAACUGCCUGAUGGAGGGGGAUAACUACUGGAAACGGUAGCUAAUACCGCAUAACGUCGCAAGACCAAAGAGGGGGACCUUCGGGCCUCUUGCCAUCGGAUGUGCCCAGAUGGGAUUAGCUAGUAGGGGGGGUAACGGCUCACCUAGGCGACGAUCCCUAGCUGGUCUGAGAGGAUGACCAGCCACACUGGAACUGAGACACGGUCCAGACUCCUACGGGAGGCAGCAGUGGGGAAUAUUGGACAAUGGGCGCAAGCCUGAUGCAGCCAUGCCGCGUGUAUGAAGAAGGCCUUCGGGUUGUAAAGUACUUUCAGCGGGGAGGAAGGGAGUAAAGUUAAUACCUUUACUCAUUGACGUUACCCGCAGAAGAAGCACCGGCUAACUCCGUG